rnacentral:rRNA from 1 species
AACGAACGCUGGCGGCAUGCCUAACACAUGCAAGUCGAACGAGACCUUCGGGUCUAGUGGCGCACGGGUGCGUAACGCGUGGGAAUCUGCCCUUGGGUUCGGAAUAACAGUUAGAAAUGACUGCUAAUACCGGAUAAUGUCUUCGGACCAAAGAUUUAUCGCCCAGGGAUGAGCCCGCGUAGGAUUAGCUAGUUGGUGCGGUAAAGGCUCACCAAGGCGACGAUCGAUAGCUGUUCUGAGAGGAAGAUCAGCCACACUGGGACUGAGACACGGCCCAGACUCCUACGGGAGGCAGCAGUUGGGAAUCUUGGACAAUGGGGGAAACCCUGAUCCAGCCAUGCCGCGUGAGUGAUGAAGGCCUUCGGGUUGUAAAACUCUUUCGCGCACGACGAUAAUGACGGUAGUGCGAGAAGAAGCUCCGGCUAACUUCGUGCCAGCAGCCGCGGUAAU